CUGGGCGUUAAGUUGCAGGGUAUAGACCCGAAACCCGGUGAUCUAGCCAUGGGCAGGUUGAAGGUUGGGUAACACUAACUGGAGGACCGAACCGACUAAUGUUGAAAAAUUAGCGGAUGACUUGUGGCUGGGGGUGAAAGGCCAAUCAAACCGGGAGAUAGCUGGUUCUCCCCGAAAGCUAUUUAGGUAGCGCCUCGUGAAUUCAUCUCCGGGGGUAGAGCACUGUUUCGGCAAGGGGGUCAUCCCGACUUACCAACCCGAUGCAAACUGCGAAUACCGGAGAAUGUUAUCACGGGAGACACACGGCGGGUGCUAACGUCCGUCGUGAAGAGGGAAACAACCCAGACCGCCAGCUAAGGUCCCAAAGUCAUGGUUAAGUGGGAAACGAUGUGGGAAGGCCCAGACAGCCAGGAUGUUGGCUUAGAAGCAGCCAUCAUUUAAAGAAAGCGUAAUAGCUCACUGGUCGAGUCGGCCUGCGCGGAAGAUGUAACGGGGCUAAACCAUGCACCGAAGCUGCGGCAGCGACGCUGAUGCGUUGUUGGGUAGGGGAGCGUUCUGUAAGCCUGUGAAGGUGUGCUGUGAGGCAUGCUGGAGGUAUCAGAAGUGCGAAUGCUGACAUAAGUAACGAUAAAGCGGGUGAAAAGCCCGCUCGCCGGAAGACCAAGGGUUCCUGUCCAACGUUAAUCGGGGCAGGGUGAGUCGACCCCUAAGGCGAGGCCGAAAGGCGUAGUCGAUGGGAAACAGGUUAAUAUUCCUGUACUUGGUGUUACUGCGAAGGGGGGACGGAGAAGGCUAUGUUGGCCGGGCGACGGUUGUCCCGGUUUAAGCGUGUAGGCUGGUUUUCCAGGCAAAUCCGGAAAAUCAAGGCUGAGGCGUGAUGACGAGGCACUACGGUGCUGAAGCAACAAAUGCCCUGCUUCCAGGAAAAGCCUCUAAGCAUCAGGUAACAUCAAAUCGUACCCCAAACCGACACAGGUGGUCAGGUAGAGAAUACCAAGGCGCUUGAGAGAACUCGGGUGAAGGAACUAGGCAAAAUGGUGCCGUAACUUCGGGAGAAGGCACGCUGAUAUGUAGGUGAAGCGACUUGCUCGUGGAGCUGAAAUCAGUCGAAGAUACCAGCUGGCUGCAACUGUUUAUUAAAAACACAGCACUGUGCAAACACGAAAGUGGACGUAUACGGUGUGACGCCUGCCCGGUGCCGGAAGGUUAAUUGAUGGGGUCAGCGCAAGCGAAGCUCUUGAUCGAAGCCCCGGUAAACGGCGGCCGUAACUAUAACGGUCCUAAGGUAGCGAAAUUCCUUGUCGGGUAAGUUCCGACCUGCACGAAUGGCGUAAUGAUGGCCAGGCUGUCUCCACCCGAGACUCAGUGAAAUUGAACUCGCUGUGAAGAUGCAGUGUACCCGCGGCAAGACGGAAAGACCCCGUGAACCUUUACUAUAGCUUGACACUGAACAUUGAGCCUUGAUGUGUAGGAUAGGUGGGAGGCUUUGAAGUGUGGACGCCAGUCUGCAUGGAGCCGGCCUUGAAAUACCACCCUUUAAUGUUUGAUGUUCUAACGUUGACCCGUGAUCCGGGUUGCGGACAGUGUCUGGUGGGUAGUUUGACUGGGGCGGUCUCCUCCUAAAGAGUAACGGAGGAGCACGAAGGUUGGCUAAUCCUGGUCGGACAUCAGGAGGUUAGUGCAAUGGCAUAAGCCAGCUUGACUGCGAGCGUGACGGCGCGAGCAGGUGCGAAAGCAGGUCAUAGUGAUCCGGUGGUUCUGAAUGGAAGGGCCAUCGCUCAACGGAUAAAAGGUACUCCGGGGAUAACAGGCUGAUACCGCCCAAGAGUUCAUAUCGACGGCGGUGUUUGGCACCUCGAUGUCGGCUCAUCACAUCCUGGGGCUGAAGUAGGUCCCAAGGGUAUGGCUGUUCGCCAUUUAAAGUGGUACGCGAGCUGGGUUUAGAACGUCGUGAGACAGUUCGGUCCCUA
rnacentral:rRNA from 1 species